GCACUGUGUGGUGUAGUGGUUAAGAGCGGUAGACUCAUAAUCUAGUGAACCGGGUUCGAGUCUCCGCUCCUCCACAUGCA
rnacentral:tRNA from 1 species